UACGAGUGCCCCAAGCGUUAUCCGGAAUCAUUGGGCGUAAAGGGUGUGUAGGCGGUAAUGUUAGUCCUCUGUCAAAUUCUUCGGCUUAACCGGGGGUCCGCAGGGGAAACGGCAUAACUAGAGGAUGCGAGAGGUGAAUGGAACUCAUGGAGUAGGGGUGAAAUCCGUUGAUAUCAUGGGGAACACCGAAAGCGAAGGCAAUUCACUGGCGCACUCCUGACGCUGAGACACGAAAGCGUAGGUAGCGAAUGGG
rnacentral:rRNA from 1 species